rnacentral:tRNA from 1 species
GGUACCAUGGUCUAGUGGUCAGGACAUUGGACUUCGACACUCAGUAACUCGAGUUCAAAUCUCGGUUGAAUCU